GCACUGCUGAUGAGUCCCACAAUAGGACGAAACGGUUGUCCUGUAC
rnacentral:hammerhead_ribozyme from 1 species